CUCCAAUAGCGUAUAUUAAAGUUGUUGUGGUUAAAAAGCUCGUAGUUGAACCUUGGGCCUGGCUGGCCGGUCCGCCUCACCGCGUGCACUGGUCCGGCCGGGCCUUUCCCUCUGCGGAACCCCAUGCCCUUCACUGGGUGUGGCGGGGAAACAGGACUUUUACUUUGAAAAAAUUAGAGUGCUCAAGGCAGGCCUAUGCUCGAAUACAUUAGCAUGGAAUAAUAGAAUAGGACGUGUGGUUCUAUUUUGUUGGUUUCUAGGACCGCCGUAAUGAUUAAUAGGGACAGUCGGGGGCAUCAGUAUUCAAUUGUCAGAGGUGAAAUUCUUGGAUUUAUUGAAGACUAACUACUGCGAAAGCAUUUGCCAAGGAUGUUUUCAUUAAUCAGGAACGAAAGUUAGGGGAUCGAAGACGAUCAGAUACCGUCGUAGUCUUAACCAUAAACUAUGCCGACUAGGGAUCGGACGAUGUUACAUUUUUGACGCGUUCGGCACCUUACGAGAAAUCAAAGUGCUUGGGCUCCAGGGGGAGUAUGGUCGCAAGGCUGAAACUUAAAGAAAUUGACGGAAGGGCACCACCAGGGGUGGAGCCUGCGGCUUAAUUUGACUCAACACGGGGAAACUCACCAGGUCCAGACACAAUGAGGAUUGACAGAUUGAGAGCUCUUUCUUGAUUUUGUGGGUGGUGGUGCAUGGCCGUUCUUAGUUGGUGGAGUGAUUUGUCUGCUUAAUUGCGAUAACGAACGAGACCUUAACCUGCUAAAUAGCCCGUAUUGCUUUGGCAGUACGCCGGCUUCUUAGAGGGACUAUCGGCUCAAGCCGAUGGAAGUUUGAGGCAAUA
rnacentral:rRNA from 1 species